rnacentral:lncRNA from 1 species
UUUACGAGAUGUACUUUUAAUUUUGCUGUUAAACAAUAAUGGUCUCGACGGGUUUCUUCUUGUCAUAAACUAAAGGAACCUGCCAGAAGCAAAUAAAAGAAAAAUUAGAAAAAAAAAUUAAACUAAAAACAAAAAUAAAAUAAAAUAAAAAUAAAUUGCUAAAUUAAUAAAAAAUGAAGUGUUCCUAAUAUUUUAGUCCCCAACAACAGCGCCAAAAACUUGAUGGUCACUAAACUAACUAUAAUUAUGACAAAGGCAAGUGCACCUAUCGAACAAUAGUAUAGUUAUGGUGAAUAGGGAAUAUCGUAUCCAGGAUGACU